rnacentral:rRNA from 1 species
UACGUAGGGUGCGAGCGUUAAUCGGAAUUAUUGGGCGUAAAGGGCUCGUAGGCGGUUUGUCGCGUCGGGAGUGAAAUCCACUGGCUUAACUGGUGGCUUGCUUUCGAUACGGGCAGACUGGAGGUAUGCAGGGGGAGAACGGAAUUCCUGGUGUAGCGGUGAAAUGCGCAGAUAUCAGGAGGAACACCGGUGGCGAAGGCGGUUCUCUGGGCAUGAUCUGACGCUGAGGAGCGAAAGUGUGGGGAGCGAACAGG